rnacentral:rRNA from 1 species
AGGACGAACGCUGGCGGCGUGCUUAACACAUGCAAGUCGAGCGGUAAGGCUCUUCGGAGUACACGAGCGGCGAACGGGUGAGUAACACGUGAGCAACCUGCCCAUGACACUGGGAUAACGAUUGGAAACAGUCGCUAAUACCGGAUACGACCUUGGUGGACAUCUACACGAGGUGGAAAGCUCCGGCGGUCAUGGAUGGGCUCGCGGCCUAUCAGCUUGUUGGUGAGGUAACGGCUCACCAAGGCGUCGACGGGUA